rnacentral:tRNA from 1 species
GUUCGGCCACCACUGGCUGAUCGGCCGCCCGCUCUAGAGAGCCAGCGUCAGGAUGGGUCAGACUGAAAAGCGGAAGGUCGGCGGUUCGACCCCGCCCCUGCCCACCA